CAUUAAGUGAUCCACCUGGGGAGUACGUCGGCAACGAUGAAACUCAAAGGAAUUGACGGGGGCCCGCACAAGCGGAGGAACAUGUGGUUUAAUUCGAUGAUACGCGAGGAACCUUACCUGGGUUUAAAUGUAGGUUGCAUGGAGGGGAAACUCUCCUUUCCUACGGGACUACUUACAAGGUGCUGCAUGGUUGUCGUCAGCUCGUGCCGUGAGGUGUCGGGUUAAGUCCCAUAACGAGCGCAACCCCUAUUGUUAGUUACCAGCACGUUAAGGUGGGGACUCUAGCAAGACUGCCGGUGUAAACCGCGAGGAAGGUGGGGAUGACGUCAAAUCAGCACGGCCCUUAUAUCCAGGGCUACACACGUGUUACAAUGGCCAGUACAAAGAGCAGCCACUUGGUGACAAGGCGCUAAUCCCGAAAGCUGGUCACAGUUCGGAUCGAAGUCUGCAACUCGACUUCGUGAAGUUGGAUUCGCUAGUAAUCGCGCAUCAGCCACGGCGCGGUGAAUACGUUCCCGGGCCUUGUACACACCGCCCGUC
rnacentral:rRNA from 1 species